UACGGAAGGCAGCAGUGGGGAAUAUUGCACAAUGGGCGCAAGCCUGAUGCAGCCAUGCCGCGUGUAUGAAAAGGCCUCGGUUGUAAGUACUUUCUAGUCGUGAGGAAGGUGUUAAGGUUAAUAACCUUAGCAAUUGACGUUAGCGACAGAAGAAGCACCGGCUAACUCCGUGCCAGCAGCCGCGGUAAUACGGAGGGUGCGAGCGUUAAUCGGAAUUACUGGGCGUAAAGGGCACGCAGGCGGUUAAUUAAGUUGGAUGUGAAAUCCCCGGGCUUAACCUGGGAAUGGCAUUCAAGACUGGUUAGCUAGAGUCUUGUAGAGGGGGUAGAAUUCCAUGUGUAGCGGUGAAAUGCGUAGAGAUGUGGAGGAAUACCGGUGGGCGAAGGCGGCCCCUGGGACAAAGACUGACGCUCAUGUGCGAAAGCGUGGGGAGCAAACAGGGAUUAGAUACC
rnacentral:rRNA from 1 species